rnacentral:rRNA from 1 species
AAGCGUGGGAGCAAACAGGAUUAGAUACCCUGGUAGUCCACGCCGUAAACGAUGUCGACUUGGAGGUUGUGCCCUUGAGGCGUGGCUUCCGGAGCUAACGCGUUAAGUCGACCGCCUGGGGAGUACGGCCGCAAGGUUAAAACUCAAAUGAAUUGACGGGGGCCCGCACAAGCGGUGGAGCAUGUGGUUUAAUUCGAUGCAACGCGAAGAACCUUACCUACUCUUGACAUCCAGAGAACUUAGCAGAGAUGCUUUGGUGCCUUCGGGAACUCUGAGACAGGUGCUGCAUGGCUGUCGUCAGCUCGUGUUGUGAAAUGUUGGGUUAAGUCCCGCAACGAGCGCAACCCUUAUCCUUUGUUGCCAGCGGUUAGGCCGGGAACUCAAAGGAGACUGCCAGUGAUAAACUGGAGGAAGGUGGGGAUGACGUCAGGUCAUCAUGGCCCUUACGAGUAGGGCUACACACGUGCUACAAUGGCAUAUACAAAGAGAAGCGACCUCGCGAGAGCAAGCGGACCUCAUAAAGUAUGUCGUAGUCCGGAUUGGAGUCUGCAACUCGACUCCAUGAAGUCGGAAUCGCUAGUAAUCGUGGAUCAGAAUGCCACGGUGAAUACGUUCCCGGGCCUUGUACACGCCGCCCGUCACACCAUGGGAGUGGGUUGCAAAGGAAGUAGGUAGCUUAACCUUCGGGAGGGCGCUUACCACUUUGUGAUUCAUGACUGGGGUGAAGUCGUA